UGGGACGGCUCCUCUGAGAGGGACUGCGAUGUCUUCUCUCAGAGGGACUGCGAUGUCU
rnacentral:miRNA from 10 species